AGUCACUGACAUUAGAUACCCGCGUAGUCCCAGCCCGUAAACAAUGUGCGUUAGGUGUGUCGGUAACCACGCGUUACUGAUGCGCCGAAGAGAAAUCGUGAAACGCACCACCUGGGUAGUACGGUCGCAAGGCUGAAACUUAAAGGAAUUGGCGGGGAGCACCACAACAGGUGGAGCCUGCGGUUUAAUUGGAUUCAACGCCGGACAUCUCACCGGAUAAGACAGCUGAAUGAUUGUCAAUCUGAAGGUUUUACAUGACUAGCUG
rnacentral:rRNA from 1 species